CUGGCGGCCCAGGGGAUGGGAGAUCUGGAAAGGGUGUGAUGGCCGGAGGCCGCUGGACCUGGAAUGGAAGGGGGAGGGAGUUGCGAUGGAUGAUCUGAAGACCUUUAGGCCUUGCUCUCUCACUCGUGCCUGGGAUGGACGCAAUUUGAGGAAGGCGUUGAGGCAUUUCAGUCGAACCAUGGAAGAACUGGUUCAUGAUCUUGUCUCAGCCCUGGAGGAGAGCUCGGAGCAAGCUCGAGGUGGAUUUGCCGAAACUGGAGACCAUUCUCGAAGUAUCUCUUGCCCUCUGAAACGCCAGGCCAGGAAACGGAGAGGGAGAAAACGGAGGUCGUAUAAUGUUCAUCACCCGUGGGAGACCGGUCACUGCUUAAGUGAAGGCUCUGAUUCUAGUUUAGAAGAACCAAGCAAGGACUAUAGAGAGAAUCACAAUAAUAAUAAAAAAGAUCACAGUGACUCUGACGACCAAAUGUUAGUGGCAAAGCGCAGGCCAUCGUCGAACUUAAAUAAUAACGUUCGAGGGAAAAGACCUCUCUGGCAUGAGUCUGAUUUUGCCGUGGACAGCCUUGGGAACAGAACUCUGCGCAGGAGGAGGAAGGUCAAGCGCAUGGCAGUGGACCUCCCGCAGGACAGCGCUAACAAGCGGACGGUGACCCAGCCCCUCGAAGGCUGUAGAGAUCAGGACAUGGACCAUGACAACAGAGCUUACCAAUGUCACGAGUUUACCAAGAGCAAGGUCAAGAAGAGGAAAUUGAAAAUAGUUAGACAAGGACCCAAAAUCCAAGACGAAGGAGUAGUCUUAGAAAGUGAGGAAACGAGCCAGACCAAUAAGGACAAAAUGGGAUACGAAGAGCAAAAAGUCUCAGACGAACUCAUGAGUGAAAGUGAAUCCAGCAGUCUCAGCAGCACUGAUGCUGGUUUGUUUACCAAUGAUGAGGGAAGACAAGGUGAUGAUGAGCAGAGCGACUGGUUUUAUGAAAAGGAAUCAGGGGGAGCUUGUGGCAUCACUGGAGUCAUUCCCUGGUGGGAAAAGGAAGAUCCUACUGAUCUGGACAAAAAUUUACCAGAUCCUGUCUUUGAAAGUAUCCUAACUGGUUCUUUCCCCCUUAUGUCACAUCCGGGAAGAAGAGGUUUCCAAGCCAGACUCAGUCGCCUUCAUGGAAUGCCUUCCAAGAAUAUUAAAAAAUCGGGAGGGACCCCAACUUCAAUGGUGACCACUCCUGGCCCAGUCAGUAACAAGAGAAUGGUUCAUUUUUCUCCAGAUUCUCAUCACCAUGACCAUUGGUUUAGCCCUGGGGCUAGGACAGAGCAUGGCCAGCAUCAGCUUCUGAGAGAUAACCGAGCUGAAAGAGGACACAAGAAAAACUGUUCUGUGAAAACAGCCAGCAGGCAAACAAGCAUGCAUUUAGGAUCCCUAUGCACUGGAGACAUCAAACGGAGAAGAAAAGCUGCACCUUUGCCUGGACCUACUACAGCAGGAUUUGUAGGAGAAAACGCCCAGCCAAUCCUAGAAAACAACAUUGGAAAUCGAAUGCUCCAGAAUAUGGGCUGGACACCUGGGUCAGGUCUCGGACGAGAUGGCAAGGGGAUCGCUGAGCCGAUUCAAGCCAUGCAGAGGCCAAAAGGAUUAGGACUUGGAUUUCCUCUACCAAAAAGCAUCCCCACAGCCACUGCCUCCAAUUCAGGAAAAUCCGCCUAAGAAGAAAAGCAAAGAAGAGAUGUUUUACCAGUUGCAUUUGCGCUAUGUAUCCCAUUGUUCUAAAAUUACAACAUAGCUUCUAUUUUUGAAGCCGAAAUCUAACAUCAAAGCCUCAAACUUGUCACUCUAGCUUCCUAGCUGCGUACGGUUCUGCCACAAUGAUAGAAAUGGGAUUUCAUCACAAUUCAUGGUGCUAAACACCUUUACCUUUUAAAAAUGUUCAGCAAUUUACAUUCUAGGUGUAAAGAACAGCUCAAUUUGUCUUAUUUAUUUUGAUCUUGUAUGUCAGUAAUUUCUAAUGCUUUAGCUUGAUUCAUUCAUGUGUGUGCUCCAUGCCCUGGCAACUGAGCACGCCCACAUGUUUCUAAAAUGGGAUUAGCCGGAAAGGGUUGUGUUUCACAUCAGCCCUGUCUGUUGUAACCGAAAACACCUAUCAUCACAUCAGGGAAGUCCUAAGCACAUCUUUGUUUGAAAGGCUGGCCAAUUUCAUAUUCCUUGAAUAUGGCUUUUUUGUUAGGAUUCUCUAACAGGGUGACACCCAUUGUCUAUCCUUGGACAGUGUAGUAUGAAGUUCACAGUUGACAAACAGCAAUUAAUGUUUCCCUCUGACAUGUCGACAAAAAUAAACCUCAUCGUUGUGAUCACCAGAGUGCCCUCAACAUGACUUUAAUGCAGAUUUUAUAAAUUUUACCUCAUUUAGAACAUAAAAUAAUUAUGGAAAGGAAAAUAUUUUUUAAAUUCACCACGACUGAACUGUAAAUUCCAUUAAUCUAGACUUCCUUCUACCUCUUUCUUCCCAAAGGUUGAUAUUUUUUUAAGAUCAACUCAACUGUAGUAAACUGAUUUUAAAUUUUAACCAUCAGAGUAAGUUAGAAUAUCGACUCAAUUUAUUCGAAGAUUUAAGUGGCUCUCCCAAGAAUUCAGAUUUCUGGCAAUGGUCCAACCCAUAUACAAGGUGAACAAAAAAUGAAUGGUACUGAUUUGCCCUUUCUAACAUCUAAGCAGUUACCUUCAAACCAAGCAAAACAAGUCAUUUUUACUUUGUGCCUCGUAUUGUUAUAGCUGAAUCAUCUGCGUCCUAACGUCAGAGAUUCUAAAUUGCUCUUAGUUUAGAUGUUGACUAGUUAUCUUCAUUAUUAAGGACUUCAUUAUAAUGGCCUUUGUUGGUUGAGUGAAGGCCAAGAUAACUCACGUGACUCACCCUUCUAAUGUUAUUUUUUUAACCCUUUAUUUUUCUAGAGUAGUUUUAGGUUCACAGCAAAAUUAUGGGGAAGGUACAGAGAUUUCUCAUAAAUCCCCUGCUCCCACGCAUGCACAGCCUCCCCUGUUACCACCUUCCCUCACCAGAGUGGGACGCUGUUAAAAUUGAUGAACCUACGCUGACACAUCAAAAUCACCCGAAGUCCACAGUUAGUAUUACAGUUCACUUUUGGUAUUGAACACUCUAUGGGCUUGGACAAACGUAUAAUGACAUGUCUGCACCAUUAUGGUCUCAUACAGAGUAGUUUUACUGUGAUAAAAAUUCCUCUGGGCUCCUGUCUAAUAGGUUUUUGGAAAUUUGUCAAUCCCCCAAGAGUUUUUUAAAGGGGGGAGAGGAGGUUUGUGCAUGUAAUAGACCUGUCCCAGGUGGUCCCCUAAAGAAAAUACUGCCAGUUAGGGAGAGGAAGUUCAGCCUGCUAUUGGAAAGGCCUCAUGGCUUGCCAGAUUUCCUUUUAAGGACGCGUUCCUUUUAAGAAUUAUCUUCUUCCCUAGGAGUAUCGUGGUAAAAGGACAAGUUGGUUAGAGGACUAUAGACUACCAGGUGAGUUGCUCUUAUGCUCUUCUUAGGCUAUCAGGUGAGCAUUCUUAUUGGAUAAAGUAACCUUGUUGUAUGAUUCUUUUCUACAAGUUUGUUACCUGGAAAUUCGCCAUUUUUCAAAAAAGGUUUUUGUUGACUACUCAUUCUAUCUAUGUAAGGGGUAAAAUUGUCUAUAUUCCAGUUUAAAACUUCUUUAUGGUAGUAUACAGUGCUCUAGGAUCUGUUCAGAAGUUUCUUUUCAUUUGUUUGUUUGUUUGUUUAAUUCCAUUGCCCGAAGAUCUUCUAAAAUCCUAGAAUUUUGAAAAGCCAAAUGUGGAGCCACUGAUAACACACAAUGAGAUUAUUGUGAGACUGACUGAUCCUAAAUUCCUAAGGACUUGACCGUUCUUUUUCACUUUACCAAGUUCUAACCCUCACGGUGAAGAAGGACAGACCAUAUAUACCAGCUGGCACGGGGCAACUCCUUAACUAAAUAUUGCAGCUGUAUCAAAACUUUUUCUUGUCCUCCUGGACAGGUACCAACCUUCUGAAGCAAACCUUCUCUAAGAUAUCACUGAGCUUGGGUGCUCUCUAACUCAGCCCCCCAAAACAAUUCAUCUUUAUAUUUUCCCCUGAUAGAAGAAAGGUCUCCAUCUUGACAUCUAGUGCCCUCUCUGUGACUCACAGAGGAUUUCAAACAUCUCUUAUCCUAUGGAAGUGUUUAACUAUACAGAAUAUGUGAAUCAGUACUCAAAGCAGAGAGGUGGCAACAUCCCAAGCAUCCCCCCUGCUCUCACACAGACAUGUACCAGGAGCACAUACAUCCCUUCACCUUUCAGUGAAAUUUAAGAAAAAUCAAUGCACACAUGAAGUUCUGCUUGGACCUGAACUGAAUCGGAGAAAUAAACCCAAUUGAAAAAUGCAAUUUGUAAUGUAAGUCGAAUACCUUUUAAGAUAUGAAGUUCACUAAUUUAUGUUUUAUAGAGAGUUAUAGUUAAUUUUUACCGGUUCCUAUGCCCAUAGAACCCAAAGCAUGCAAAGGAAUUCAUCCUUUAGAAUGUAUCAAUCAUAUCUCCUUAAAAAGGUGGUUAGAUUUUUCCCUUCUUCAUAAAGCCAACUCUUCUACAGUAUCUAAAGCUUCAUAUCAAAUUAAUUGCUUGUACUAAAAAUUUUACAGAGUACAUUGGUCUCUUCCACUACUAUCCAAAUUAUCCAGUCCCAGCAGUAGCCGAGAGAGGAAACUUUUCAAGACUAUAUUCUGUAACAGUGCCAAACUUCAGAGUGCAUAGGAAUCACCAGGAAAGGACUUUAAAAAGUUGAGAUUCUCAAACUCCACUGUCAUAAAGACACCUGAGGGUGAGUACGCAGUUGAGAAAGACUGUCCUAGAAGAACCAGAUUAGGUCAUCUCCAAACCUUGGCCCGCAUCCAAGCCCAGCCUUCUAUGGUGGACCCUACUGGCCCAUCUGCCCCAGCUGUCUUCUCCUGGUAAAUGUUCUCAAUAUCACCACCCUCCCACCCUCUCCCUAAGACAAUUCCCAGGGAUUUGGAAUUCGAACUAAUAGAUUUCAUUCUGGACUUGGUAUAACUGGUCUCUUGAAUGGAGAAGCCAUUGGUCUGGGCAGCAGAGGAAGUCAGUAUGUAAAUGAGGUAAAGAAUGAGGUAAAGAAAAAUGUCUAGGUUUCCCACAGCCCUGGAUCCUGGUUUGAGCUUGCUAGAUGCUCUCUCCAGAAAAGACCAGAGGACCAUUCCUGGGGAGGUGGAGAAAGCAACACUUUUCUAUAGGAGAAUGUGACAUCUCUUUGCAUGGAACAAGCCUCUUACGUUAUUGGGCAGGGUGCUUACCACGUGGGUCUAAACAUCUUAUGAGCAAACAUAUAAAUCAGAGGGCGAAUCAUUCACAUUACACAAAGCUUUUUCAUGUUGUAAAAGAGCACAGGGUCCCUUUAGGUAGCGUUUUCUCAAGUGCUUAUUUACAGAUCAUUAAAUACUUAACAGCGGGAAAAAGUAAAAGCUGAAGUGCUUAAGCCAGUGUUUAUUAAAUAGCCAUCACAGAUUCAGAUAAAGCAAAUCUAAAAUCAUAAUGACAGUUAAUUGUCCAGUUUUUAGAUUUUUGUAUUAGGAGACAGGAGCUAAAAUAACAGCCUGUCCAGGUUAAUACAGGACCCCUGUGCAUUCGACCAUGGUUGUAAUUCUUUUCUGUGGGCUUAUCUCCAGUCCCAUAAGACACUCCUUUAUCUUAUAAUAAACAUUCUCUUUUUGUACAAGUUAAGCUUUCUGUUAUUUCCAAAUAGUACUAAUUUUCUGCAGGAUGUUGGCUAAAAUGUAAAUGUAUUAUAAAACACUGAAGAGUACUACCAUAACUUGACCAACUGAAUUUUCUCUGAUUGUGCAAUUAUCUAAAAAUGUAUAGUUUUAGAGGAACUAUUAUACCUUAUAAUGCUUUAAUAAAGUUCCUUCUUGUGGCAGUGGAGUAUUCUAAAUGACUUGACCUCAUUUUUCUUUUUGAGCCCAACUCUACCAAAUUCUAACCCAGUAAUUCCUAGCAAUAAAGGAGGCCCAUUACUUCAAGGGACUCUCAUAAGACUGGAG